rnacentral:rRNA from 1 species
UCAAGCGAGAGAAGGGUUUGCGGUGGAUGCCUUGGCGUAUCGAGGCGAGGAAGGCCGUGGCAAGCUGCGAUAAUCGGCGGGGAGGAGCACACAUCCUGAGAUCCGCCGGCUGCCGAAUGGGGUAACCCGCCAAGCGCGAGCUUGGCAUCCGCGCCUGAAUGCAUAGGGCGCGGAGGCGAGACUGGGGGAACUGAACCAUCUAAGUACCCCGGGAAAAGAAAAUAACAAUGAUUCCGAGAGUAGCGGCGAGCGAAAUCGGAGGAGCCUAAACCGCCCUCUGGGGCGGGGUUGUAGGGCCGCCAUCCCGAAAGGGGGGAGUCAAGAAAGCUACGCUAUAGCGGAAAGGCAUUGGGAAAGCCUGACAUAGAGGGUGAAAUCCCCGUACGCGAAAUAGCGGAGCCUCCCGGGCGGUGCCUGAGUACGGCGGGGCACGAGAAACCCUGCCGGAAUCCGGGUCGACCACGAUCCAAGGCUAAAUACGAGAUACGACCGAUAGAGCAGAAGUACCGUGAGGGAAAGGCGAAAAGAACCCCGGCGAGGGGAGUGAAACAGAACCUGAAACCGCGAACCCACAACAUGUCAAAGCCCGGGCAGCCGGGUGAUGGCGUGCCUUUUGUAGAAUGAGCCUGCGAGUUGCGAUGUAUAGCGAGGCUAAGGGAUAGGAGUCCCGGAGCCGCAGGGAAACCGAGUCUUAAUAGGGCGAGGAAAUGCCCGCGAGGGCAUUCAGUUAUACGUCGCAGACCCGAAGCCAGGUGAUCUAGUUACGCGCAGGCUGAAGGCAGGGUAAAACCUGUUGGAGGGCCGAACCCUAGUCUGUUAAAAAAGGCAGGGACGACGCGUGACUUGGAGCGAAAGACUAAACAAACCUGGAGAUAGCUGGCUCUCCCCGAAAUGCCUUGAGGGACAGCCUCGUCAAAAUCUUGAGCAGGUAGAGCACUGGAUGGACUAGGGGGCUUCACCGCCUACCAAACCCAAUCAAACUCCGAAUGGCGAGAGACAACUGACGGGAGUGAGACUGCGGGCGACAAGGUUCGUAGUCGAGAGGGAAACAGCCCAGACCGCCGGCUAAGGUCCCGGAUAGCAUGCUAAGUGUGAAAUGAUGUGCGAUGGCGAAGACAGCCAGGAGGUUGGCUUAGAAGCAGCCAUUCCUUAAAAGAGUGCGUAAUAGCUCACUGGUCGAGUCAUGGCGCGCAGACAAUGUAGCGGGGCUAAGCAUGCAACCGAAGCCGCGGGUUUCGCAAGCGAUUGCGAGACGGUAGGGGAGCAUUCCACGGGCCGACGAAGGCAGCCUGCGAGGGCUGCUGGAGGCAGUGGAAGGGAGAAUGCAGGUAUAAGUAGACGAAAAGACGGGUGGGAUGCCCGUCCGCCGGAAGCCUAAGGAUUCCUGGGUAAAGGUCAUCUGCCCAGGGUAAGUCGGCCCCUAAGGCGAGGGGGAAGCCCGUAGCCGAUGGGAAACUGGUCAUUAUUCCAGUACCGUUCUUGGUUUCAAGGGAUGACGCGUGAGGCGAGACCCGGCCGGGCGACGGUUGCCCCGGUCGAAGCGCCAAGCUAUUGGGGCCGGGGGAAACGGCCGCAGGCGAGGCGCGACAGCGAGCUGAGCUAAGGCGAGGCGAAGCGGGCGUAGUCAAGGCGCCAAGAAACAAUCCCCUCUGGACAGGCCAAGAAGACCGUACCGCAAACCGACACAGGUAGGCGGGAUGAGAAAUCUAAGGCGCUCGAGAGAAUUCACGUUAAGGAACUCGGCAAAAUGCGCACGUAACUUCGGGAGAAGUGCGGCCACUGCCGGUUUUAGCAAUAAUGUUGGCGGUGGCGUCACAAAGCAGUCCCAGGCGACUGUUUAUCAAAAACACAGGCCUCUGCGAACCGGCAACGGGACGUAUAGGGGCUGACACCUGCCCGGUGCCGGAAGGUUAAGGGGAGCGGUUAGGGGAAACCCGAAGCUGCGAACCGAAGCCCCGGUAAACGGCGGCCGUAACUAUAACGGUCCUAAGGUAGCGAAAUUCCUUGUCGGGUAAGUUCCGACCCGCACGAAAGGUGUAACGAUCUGGGAGCUGUCUCAACGUGAAACUCGGUGAAAUUAAGUACCGUCA